ACAUGUUCCCAUAUGAUCCCUGAAGUUAAGCAACAUCGAGCCUGGCCAGUACCUAGAUGAGUGACUUCUUGAGAAUACAAGGUACUGUAA